GAUUAGGAUUAAGAAUUCAAUUAUAGGUAGGUGAUUAAAUUAACCAUUGCACGUGUGUACGAAUCACUUCAACUCUUAAUUGAGCCGCUGCGUCCCCUACAUCAUCACCCUUAAACAUCCCAUCCGAUGCUGCCUUCUCAGCAGCCACCAUCGGUGUCACCCCUAGAUAACCAUCUGUUGCCAUAGCUCCACUAAACUGCAGGACCAACACAACCAUGGAUUUUGCUCCAAUUACGAUGCGCAGAUUGAAAAGGGCCACCUUUGCAGCAAUUUGUUCUUCAAGGAAGGGGAACUCGCGGGAAACAUAGAGGUCAAAAGGGAGACCCGGAUGCGAAGGGAUCAUCGCGGUGCGUCACCGUUCGCAACAGAGCGGAACUGUACGACGUUGUUUGCCUGUGACUGUACGUUGUCGUGUGUUGUCAACCCAGGGGCUCCAUCUCCACAAAACUGUUCGCCUUUUCACCACGGUGCAAUACCGAGUGAGAAGCAGACUAGUGUUCGUAGAUCUUUGGAGAUGAGUGGGCUGCCUGAGAUGAUGUACCGUGUGUUGAAGAGGAACCAUGAGCUGCGAUUUGCACCGCACCUACCAUCUGUUAAACAAUGGGAGCAACCCAAGUUGCUUUCAAAGAGGAUCUGUGCACUAUGACCUGCUCCGCACCGGCCACCUACAUAGUCCGGAUGCGAUGUGGGUUGCGCCAAUCGAGCACGGAGUUCAUGGAGGAAUCAAAGGUGUCGAUGGAGAUCCAACUGCGGCCAAAACAUAUGCAACUUGCGGAGACGGAAGAGAAGCCGACGUGUCAGCCAUGACAAAUGUGUCUGAAGCGCCUAAAACCCGUAGUGGAGGAAGAGGAGUCGACGAAGAUGCAGUGGCAGAGACUUGGGGGAAUGAAGUAGUGAAGGACAAAAAUGAAAUUGAUGUAGAAGAGCCACCGCGAGAGAAUGCCAAGGCGAUUGGCAAGCUGGCAAGGUUAUUCAGGAGAGGGGGAGAGGUUGGAGGUGCCACGAUGAUGCAUUUGAGCUCAACGGCCACUGUUAUGGGUUGGGAGGGGUUUGGGGAUAUUGUUAUUCUAGCUCCUGAAAAUGUUAAAGAAAAACGUUACGUGGCAAUAUUUAAGAGAUUGAGCUUCUUCUUUAGAAAACAUUAUCUUAUUACCCUUGAAUUAUUUCUCUUAAUCCAAUCACCUGCCCCAAAUUGAGUUAUUAAUGAUAAUCCUAAUCUUAUCUCUGGGCUGAGCACUCAACACACCUAUUUAUGAAUUCGGUGAAGCUCCUUAGGCUGGUACGUAAUCUUAUCGCAUAAGUACUUACAAAACUGUGGCAGUUUGGAGAAGUCGUGGCAACCACCGAACACGAGGAGGCUAUAAUCAUAGCAGAGAUUGAUUAUUCACUAAUUGAGCUCAGGAGGACAAACCUCCCAUUGUCAAAGCAACUGUGAGGUGAUCUCUACCAUUGGCAGAUAUCCAGAGGCUGAACUGUCAGUGACUGGAGUGAGAAAUUCUAGAGGUCUGUUCUGAGGCAUGCAUGGAGGGAUUUUCAGCCAAAAAGGCUACUGCAAUGAAAAUGGGAGGCCAUUAUAUUCAGAGACUCUAUUGCACAAACCAUUUCAGGCAUUCGUAUAAUUUGUAUGUGGUGAGUUGGAACUUGAAUUUCUGGUUAUAUAAUAAUAUUGUGUUGGGUAUAUCAUCCAGCUCAUAAAUU